AGCUGUAUUGGGGCAAAAGCAGCAACGUUUCGACCCUACCUUUAACAAGCUUGAUAAAGACCUGGUAGGGUCGAAACGUUGCUACUUUUGCCCCAAUAAAGCU